CGGAAUCUACUUUUUCGUGGGGGAUAACGUAGGGAAACUUACGCUAAUACCGCAUACGACCUUCGGGUGAAAGCAGGGGACCUUCGGGCCUUGCGCGAUUGAAUGAGCCGAUGUCGGAUUAGCUAGUUGGCGGGGUAAAGGCCCACCAAGGCGACGAUCCGUAGCUGGUCUGAGAGGAUGAUCAGCCACACUGGAACUGAGACACGGUCCAGACUCCUACGGGAGGCAGCAGUGGGGAAUAUUGGACAAUGGGCGCAAGCCUGAUCCAGCCAUACCGCGUGGGUGAAGAAGGCCUUCGGGUUGUAAAGCCCUUUUGUUGGGAAAGAAAAGCAGCGGGCUAAUACCUUGCUGUUCUGACGGUACCCAAAGAAUAAGCACCGGCUAAUUUCGUGCCAGCAGCCGCGGUAAUACGAAGGGUGCAAGCGUUACUCGGAAUUACUGGGCGUAAAGCGUGCGUAGGUGGUCGUUUAAGUCUGUUGUGAAAGCCCUGGGCUCAACCUGGGAACUGCAGUGGAAACUGGACGACUAGAGUGUGGUAGAGGGUAGCGGAAUUCCCGGU
rnacentral:rRNA from 1 species